UAAUCCAAUUGGAGCAAACCCUCGUUUAGUCAUGACAAACUCACAUCUAACUGCUUAAAAUCACUUGUUACUAUAUAAACAGUAAUUUUUUAAGAUUUUAAUUAAAGU
rfam:Populus trichocarpa scaffold_9_contig_114, whole genome shotgun sequence.